rnacentral:rRNA from 1 species
UCGCUCCUACCGAUUGAGUGAUCCGGUGAAUAACUCGGACUGAUGCUUUUUCCAGCUUCUGGAAUUUGCUUCGGAAAGUUUAGUGAACCUUAUCACUUAGAGGAAGGAG